rnacentral:rRNA from 1 species
GACGAACGCUGGCGGCGUGCUUAACACAUGCAAGUCGAACGGUGAAGCUCCAGCUUGCUGGAGUGGAUCAGUGGCGAACGGGUGAGUAACACGUGAGCAACCUGCCCCUGACUCUGGAAUAAGCGCUGGAAACGGCGUCUAAUACUGGAUACGAGAAGGGUCCGCAUGGGCACUUUCUGGAAAGUUUUUCGGUUGGGGAUGGGCUCGCGGCCUAUCAGCUUGUUGGUGGGGUAAUGGCUCACCAAGGCGACGACGGGUAGCCGGCCUGAGAGGGCGACCGGCCAACCUGGGUGGGAGAGACGGCCCAACCACAUACGGGAGGGAGGAGGGGGGAAUAUUUAACAGGGGGCGAAAGCCUGAUGGAGCAAGCCCGGGUGAGGGAGGGCGGCCUGCGGGUUGGAAACCUUUUUCAGCAGGGAGGAAGGAAAAUGAGAGGUACGUGCGAAAAAACCCCGGCUAAAUUCGGG